CCGGGGAAGGACGCGCGCGCGGGGCCGGGGCGGGGCGGGGCUUGUGGGGGCGCUCGGCGCGUGCGCGGGACGGGAAACGGGGAGCGGAGGAAAGUUCGGGGCUGGGGCGGCUCCGCCGUGGGUGUUGUCAACAAGCAAUAAGCUGCUCCUAGCGGUGUCUGCGCUCUGCUCUGGCCGUUCCUUGAGUUAAACGUGUUUUAUCGCUGUGUUUUGUGCCAAAACGCUGGAAUUCGGGCUGUGGGCUGGGUGGUACCGGGAGCUUCCUGAGCAUCUUUUCGCGUCUUUGUGUGUGUGGCGUCUCCGCCGUCAUCCCGAGCAGUUUUCAGAGGUGAUGUAAGGCAACGAUAGAAGCUUGUCAAAUCAGUGUCUUGACUUGUGCCAUAUACAGUAUUUUUCGGGGAGAAUCACGCACAGAACCACAGAAUGAAUUAGGUUGGAAAGACCUCAGAUCAUCGAGUCCCGCCUGUGACCGAACACCACCCUGUCAACAAGACCAUGGCACUGAGUGCCACGUCCAGUCUUUCCUUAACCACCAAGGCAGUCCUACGGAUUUUGGGAAACCUCUGACAGGCAUACUCUUAUUUUUAGCGAGCUUCUCUAGUCCUAAAAAAACCCCUGAAACCUUUCACAAGAAGUGAAAAUAUUUUCCUAUCAUUUAGAAUUAUAUGGGCUUUUUUAUUACCAGCUGAUUAAAUAUGUUUCAGAUUUUCACAAAAUAACAAAUCAAAUAAAAUUUGCUUCUUUCCUGCUAAACAAGUGUGCAAGUACUUACACUUGUGCUAAACAUUACUAUGAGUGUAAAGGCAGGAAGGCAGAUUGUGGAUAUGCAGAAGUAUUGGGGAUAACUGCUCUAUUAUGUUUAAUGUAGUUUUUCUUCUGUAUGUCCUUUUUCUUGUUCGUUCUUUACAGAGCUUCAAGAGAGCAAGAAUGGUCUGCAGUUCUGCACUUUAUUUUAUUGUCUUGUUUUAUGUUUCAUAUGUUGUUUUAUUCAUCUUUGAUCAGCAUUUGCCAUUACAGGUUCAAAUAGAGCUAGAGAGGUGAGUACUUGUGGAAUUUUGCUGUCACAUGUGAAGGAUUCCCCUUGCACUCAGCAACUGCUGCAGUUUCACUGCCCUUGUUGGAGGUGACCAACCCCGUGGCAGAGUUGGCAUCUCCCUGUGUCCCCUGGCAAAGUGUGACGUCCUCAUUCAGCCCCCACCCCACGCUGGCUUUAAACAGGUACUGACUUGCACUUGGAGCAGCUGACAAAUGAACACGUCCUGCUGUAGCUGUGGUGGCUUCUCUCAGAUGAGUAAAGCAGAUGGCCAGAGUCAGCAAGAUCUUAUAGUGAGGUUUGAUGUGUUAAAAUUUAAACUGUGAUUUUUAUAGGAAAAAAACCUUCUCUAGUUUAAAUACUGGUUUAUAAUGCCCUCCCUAGGAUGUGUUGUGCAUUGUUUCUGCUCUCUCCCUUCUUACAUGGUUCUGCUCUUCAGUAUGUCUCCUUUCCCCAGACUGUCCUUUUUCAUACUGCUGUUUUCUCUGUCAUUGGCACUUGGGCAUAUUCUUAUGUUUCUUCUUCCGUUGGCAUGUUCCUGAUCUUUCUUGAGAGUUAGGUUGCUCCAUUUCUGCCCUUGGCACUCCUGGACGAUGGCAAGAUAGAGCCCAGAGCAUGGUAAGGCAUAUCUCCUUCCUUACCCAACUUAAUUCUUUAAAUUUGCAAGUUCUGUUCAGCAGAAAGGGCCUUUCUGGUGAUCUUGCAGUUAGCCUCUUAACACCGUAUGACUUCAGAGUUCUCUAACACUAAAUGCUAGUGAGGCAGUAAAAAUGCACCCUCAGCCUUAGAUGGGUAUCCAGGAAAGUUCAAGUUAUUGUUCAGAAGCACUGGAACUUUCUAAUUAAUCAUGUCCAAUAUUUGUUCUUUUGGCAAAAUAGUACAUAUGCAUCUUGGGUCUUGUCCUCAUAGAUUGCACUGCUUUGGCUUUGACCUGAAGCAAGGAUGUAACUGUUAGUUUUGAUAUCUACUCCCUCCCACCACCCCCCUUAUAAUCUCAAAAGUAUUAAAUGGGGCUUUAUUUAUCCUUUAUAAGAGAAAACCCUUUUGAAGCAGGAGACAGGUAUAGUUAGCUGUGGUGCCCAAAACAAUUAUCUUGUCCUUCUCCUGUAGCAAACUUAGUUUUCAAGAUGUGGCCUAAGUGUUUUAAGGCAACAAGAAGGGACGAUUUUGUGGUUGAGGCACAAGGUCUUCAUUAAACUUUAGAUUCUGGUCCUGCAAAAUUCUGCUAGUAAUUUAGGAUUAAAUCCCAUAGAGGACUUGGAUGCUUGUGCUCAGUUCUGCCAAUUGCCCACCCAGAACUGCAGUCCAGAGCCCUGAUGAGAUUUAGGGUCUGUGAGGGAUCCUGGCAGGAGAGCCCUUAUAUUAUCCGAUAUUUUCAUCUGGGUCCCUCCAAGAUCCACUGUAGCUCUGCUGCUCUCAAAUUCCAUAUGGUGGCUGAUAAAAGUUGCUGUAGCAAGCAUGUCUCAUCAGCCCAGUGCAUGUCCUGUCGUUGCAGGUGUUACACGUGUGUGGCUGGGCCUGGAAGUUGUCCUUCUUAGCAGACACUGCUGCUUUGAAAUGCCAGGUUUGAGGUUUAGCUGGAAGACAUAACUCCGUGUUUCCUUUGGCAGCUUCAGGGAAUCUAAGUCAAACAGGAAUUGAAUGAGGGGCAGUAACUGUUUAAUUGUAAAUCUUCAAAGUGUUUUUGCAAUCAAGGUAAAAGUAGUUACCUGAUGCAUGUGUUGCCUCCUUUCAACUCAAUAUUCAUAGAACUAACAAAUAGGGAAAAGAAUAAUUUUUGCACAAUAUUUUUCACUGACAACAAUUGAUUAAUAUUUCAGGCUACACAGGUACAUGUUUUCUAAACAUAAGCCCUACCAAAGUUAAAUAAAGAUCCUUUGUAACUUAAAGCUCUAGGCAGAUACAAGAUUUUUCUUUAGUGCCAGUGGUAUUAUGAUUUGUGAAUGCAAUUAUUUUUUUUAUUCUAGGCUAUCGUGGAAGUAGAGGAGUUAUUGAAAUUUGUUCAGACUUCAGUAAAUUUUCUCUCUGUUGCCUAGGAAUUAUGACUUUUUGAUACAUGAUAGAUUGAACUAAACUGUUGAAAAUUAUACAAAACCAGCUUUAUAGUUAGCCACAGGAAGCAUUUUUAAAUUGUAUCUGUCAAGUGCCAAUAUUGAAAAUCAAUUUUUUAUUAUUUAACACAGAUGAUAGUUAAUGUUAAAAAGAAGGGUUUAUUAUUCAAAAUACACAAACUGUUUCUGACUUCAGGAACUGCUUGAUCAUUUUCACAUCUCAGCGUUUUCCUUUUCUGUUCAGCCACAGAGCAAUGCCAUUUGCUAAAAUGACAUUGUGAAAGCUAAAACCUUGAUGGUGUGUGUUAAAGAGAUAAGGAAGAACAUGUACCUUUUGAAGGGGAGUGCCAGUUUCUUUAAACUGAGUGCUGGGCUGAUAACACUGUUUGCUUUUGGUAGCCUACUUAGUCCAGAUAGUCUUUUCAGUGCUAGAUAAUCUUUUCAGCCCAGCCAAACUCAAAUUCUGAGUAAUUUGUUUAAUAAAAAAAAUGAAAAAAAAAAAAAGGAAAAACCCCACAUCAAGACCUUAGGGCUCUGUAAUUUGAGUUUUCUUGAAUGUGGGCAAAAGCAAUUUUGCUUUCUUAUUUUUGGGAAUAUUCUUCAUUCACACAAAGAACUGUAUGUCUGUUUCCUUUACUGAACUUGUGAAGGAGAAAUCACUUUGGCAACGAACAGGGAAAGAAGUGUCAUUCUCAGGCAGUCAUGACACGGGAAAGGUAAUAGUUAAUUACUUUAUAAUGUGCCUGAGGCAAACAAAGCAACAGGUUUGUGCAGUGGAAUUGUUUUUUCCAAUGCCAAGUGCAGUUGAGGAAAUAGGAAGGUACUGAGCUAAGUUUGGUCAGGACUGUUGCAGCAUUUUCCCCCUCAUAACACUUCAAGAGUAUACUCUGUUUCCCUCUCCUCUCUCUAAGAACUGGUUAAUUAUUAAGCCUUGGGAGAUACUGUCAGGAUUGGAAAGAUGGAUGUGCCGAGGAAGAGGUACCAGAGCCAAGGCUGGGCAAGGAGGUGCUCUGGGAAGACUGACUGGAGGAGAGAGACAGUGGAGAGCCAGAGCAGGGCAAGUCCAUGCCCAGCUGUCACAGACUGCUCUGAUGACAGGCUCAGCUGCUCUGGGCCUCCUGAUGGUUGUCCUGUCUCACCCCUUCUUCUUUCCCAAGAGUGAGCUUUGUGCUGCUCCAUCCGUGUCCCUAAUACGGCCACCUCUGCUCAGCCACAUCCUCUGCCAGAUACAGUCCACCCCCCUCACUUAGAAAACCACCAAAUCAAGGUUUUGUGAAAAACAGGUUUGUGUUUCCCUCUGCCCUUUACUAGCUAGAAUCAGAAUUGGUUAGCUCUGAGGCUUGCUCCCUUCAUCAGUAGCUACAUUAUUUCUUCCUUAGGAGCCAGAGUAGUCCAAUCAAAAAAAAUAUGAGUAUCAUGCUGCUGUUCCUGAUUGUCCUCAAAGUUCCACAUAGUGACUGUAUAUGCAUUUGAAAGUGUUCUGGUCUGUGGUGCUGGCUCAGGAAGCGGGUCAGACUGGAGUGAACUCUGGCAUGAACAGAUAGUCUGUUUCAGAGGGAGCUGCUAUUGCUGUGCUACGUGCACACUGUGUGCAUGAUGAAGUGCCAGCCCUUUUGUGUUGUGGGAAUUUUGUGUGUAUAUUCCCUUUACAAAAGGCUGAUGGUGGUAGCAUAAGAGCAUGUUACUUGAGAGAAAACAUGGACCUUCACUGGACCAGCUGCAGUUCAUUUACUUACCAUGAGAACCAAAAGGACCAAAUAGCAAAAUAUGCUUUGGGCAGUUUACUCCUUUAGCUUAUAAACUUAUCUACUCCUUUAGUUUAUAAACUUCUUUAUCUGCUCACUAUGACUUGAGAUUUUCCUUAUGCAGGACAAAUUUCUGUGCUUCUUACAGAUGAUGCUUUGCCCCAAAUUUUUCUCACAGGUCUCAGUCCAGGUCCCUUAACAACUUUAUUGUGAUCCUGCCACCUUUGAAUUAGUAGCCUGUGAUUUUCUAACCCAGAUCCUGCCAAUAUUCUCUGUACCUCCUGUAGCGCAGUUCUGCAGGCCCUGACAGCCUGUGACUAAUUAUCUCUGUUCACAUGGUGAGCCAAAGAAAACUGCAGGGACUGUCUGAUAACGAGUUGCAGAGAGGAAAAGCAAAAGUCAAAACGAAACUGAAGUAGAAUGGGAUUCACAGACCUGAGUGAAACUGAGGGAGGACAGAGAGGCAGGGUGGAUGGCAGGGCUGGGCCAGGCUGGGCUGUGUGUGGCCACACAGUGCCUCCUGCAGCCUGGUCUGAGCACUGGGGCUGGGUCCACGUUGGCAGCGUGGCAUGGGAAGGAUGUCUGCUGAGGAAGGAGCGUGGAGAGCAUGGAGACACAGCUCAUGCACAGCAUGAGGAGUUGGCUGGUGACAAUAAGCCUUUAUGGGACCCUCAAAAUGAGAGUCAUACGUGAAUGAGCUUUCGUUGAGUCUGUGCUGGCUUGAUUGAACUCCCACUUCUCACCUUGGUCAAUACCUAUUGGCUCCACAAUGCUGCACCCACCUAAGGAUCUGCUUGCCAGGCUCCCCUCUCCCACUACCAGCACAAUACCUGUGCUGUGCUCACAUUUCCUGAGUGAAUUUGCAUCAGUGGCAGGAGGAUCUGGGCAAGCAUUUCCUGGAGUUGGACACAAGACCUGAGAUCUGAGGCAGGAGGAGACCUGCACAUAGCAGAGAGAAGAUGUGAACAGGAUUGAAAGGAUCUGUAUUUGAAGGAAGCUGGUGACAUGGAGAAUAAAGGGGCAAUUGGAGAACAAAAAGGAACAGAUGACAAAACAUCCAAGAUCUUGUGCAGGGCCAGGAGUUGUACUUGAUCUUUGUGGGUCCCCUUCCAACUCAGAGUGUUCUGAGGUUCUGUAUGUGAGUUGCCAUGAAGCCCUGACCCAGGCACAGAUGACAGAACCUGCAUAAAGCUUCUGCCUGUAUGAGUAAAACUGACAAUUGUUUGGGCAAAGUGUUCCACCAUGAGGAGUUUAUUUCAGUAAAUACUUCAUGUCACGCACUUUAACGCAGCUUUAGGACAUUGCAGCCCAAUGUACUGUAUAGUCACUUGUGAAAGGAGCCAGAUUGCUUGCCCAUAGCAUGAUGUGGACUUUCUGGCCAAAGCUGACCCUGUUCCCCUCUCCAUUACUGACACCACAGCAGUUUUCCUCUUGGUUCAAAGGGAUUGUACUGGCCAUCAAUAUCUGCCUUAUCAGGCUGCUCUUACCUGUACGAGGUGGAAAGUAGGGUGCUGCCAUUGUUACAUCUCAUAAUAACUGUUCUGUUGAGGUGAAUUUUGUGGUGUCUCUGGCUUCCAAAGCAUUUUGGGUUACAGUUGGGACCCAUUAUGGCCCAAACUGGUGUUUUUGCAGACUUGGGAGUGUGGCCCUGCCCAGCCAUCCUUUAGAGGGCACUGACUGAUCUUUUGUGGUUCCACUGUUGGCUGAACAUACCCAGGGACUGGUUGCCACUGAGAAGGACUAUUCCCUGUUCUUGCUCCCUUCUUCCCUUGUCCUCAGGGCUCUCUCCUGUUCUCCAGCCCAUGAAAUCCUGACCACUUCCCUCUUAAGGGCCAGUUGGUUGUGUGGUUGGAUUUUAUUUUUUGCAGUGAGUUAGUUUGGGAUGUUUUAGUGACUUAGAUCUAUUCCCAGAGUCAGAGCUGAUACAAGAUAGCAGCAGGGUGUGUGGCCCUGGGACAAAGGGAGGCUGUCCCUGUGCUGAUAAAAUGCUAACUGGCCUUAUGGCCUCCUGUGGAACUAUGUCGUUUGCAGCACAAUUCUGGAGGAAUAAUUAACAUUAAUCUUUUGGUCACUCUGUUUUGCCCCCAAAAAUGGGGAGAGUAGAAGCAAAGGAGAAAGAUUAAAGGGCUGAGUGUUGGUGAAAGGACUGGAGAGAUGAUGUGUCAAGAGGGACUUCCUGGGGCUGGGAAGCAGAUUUCAAUGACUGCCCAGAGGAGGGGGAGCAGACCCUUCAGAGCAAGGAGUAUUUCACCAAGAGCUGUAAGAGGUGCCUGGGGCAGGACUAAAUGUCUAACAUAUUUGGUGUGUGUCCUCUUUCACCUCACAGAAGGGCAGGGCCCAACUGGUGUGGCAAACAGGUGGUGGGUCUCUGGCUAAGCACCAUGGUCUCUCUGAAGACCCAAAUUCCCAUCCCACUGCUGCCAAGUUAUCAGUGUUAGAUAAAACAUUCUUAGUUUUUUUUGUUCUGUAAGGUCAUCAAUUUAGACCCCUAGGGCUGUCUCCAUCCCUCUUUCCAGGUUUGCAUCUUUCCCCUUGCACUUCAUAUGAAUCUGCAAGAAAGAAAGUGAGCAGAGGAAGAAGAACUCUGGGCUGGAGGUGGAGCAAGAGCUCUCCUACCAACUAAGAUAACCACAAAGCCAAAGUGCUCAUCUGGAGGUGGUCCUUGGCUGGGGCUGUUCUUCUCCCAGCUGAGAGCGACUUUGCUCCCCCUGGCAAGGGAGUCAAACCUGUCCAGUCACCUGCAGCCCCAAGGGACAGGUAACAAAAUGCCAGAUAUUUUUCUCCAUAAGAACAAGCUUCUCAUCCAGCUGCACCUCUCGGCUCUGCUGCUGAUGUUUUCAUGCUCUCUGCCUGUGGUACAUGCUGCAUGGGCAUGACCAAGCAGGUAUCAGUACAGAGCACUGUCAAACUCCCAAGGGAUCUGCAGUAAACAAGUGGCAGGCAACCAGCCAGUGCUCUGAUGGCCACGCUCUGCUGCGAGUGGGAUUAUGCUGUUGGAGUCCUGCUGAGAAGUGCAACUGAUCUGUAUGUCUGCAGCUGUGGUGGGCUGGAGGAGGUGUACUGAGCACUCUGUACUCAGUCAACGAGAUCAGGUCCUCAUGCCUGUGCAGAUGACCUUCACAUCAGUGGUGGGAUGAAGUUUGGCUUGGUAGUUAAACCAGGAGGAACUCUGCUGUAUUUUGUCCAGUUGAAAUUGAUGGCAUUGCUGGAGGAAGGUGAUGGCUGCGUGGGUGAAUGGGACCUGACUGCACUCCUGAAGCGACUCAUGAAGGAAUAUGGGCAAAUCCACUGCCUGCCCAGACUGAGACACCUCUGAGAGCCAAAUUUUUAUCCUUCACACCCUGAGCUUUGAGUGCAGCUGUGGCCCUCAGGUCCUUGGCUAAAGUCUUAUUUUGCAAGGGAACGGCAGAGACAGAUCUAGUGAAAGUGUCUUUCCUGUAAUGGGAGAAUCUUAAGGUGAGUUCAGCAUUUGCUGAAAGGAAUAGCCUGGUAUCUCUUCUACACUGCCUUAUGAACAGCACAGAAGUGCUUAUAAUUUUAAUACAGUAUUUUGUCAUGUCAUUAUUAGCGGGAGCAAAACUUAGAGCUGUCAGUGAACUCUUGAUAUACUUGUAAUCCCUCCUACCUCCAGCAGAAGUUGCCCGUACCCAGCACCUCGGCAGAGGCAGCCUGAGACAGCCCCGUGCAGCCCUUCCUUCCCCAGCGUGCCGGGCUAAGGCUGCUCGGGAAACCUGGGAAGAAUAACACGGUGUAUUUGCUGCAGUAUUUUAAGCACAAAGACAUACCAGGCUAUGAUUAUCUUCCAUGUGGAUGUGAACACAUGGAACAUAGUGUAAUUUAUGGUUAUGUUAACACUGCAAUGCAUGAGCUGCUAAGGUGGCUGAGGAUUGAGCGUCAGCAGCAGCCUGCAGGUUGGAUUGCAGCAGGCAUUGAAGUUUGAGGGAUGCUCAAGGGCAGGUUCCUCUUGAUCCUUUGAUCUGCAUGGCAUUUGGUGAGGUCUAUGUGGAGAUGGUCAUCUCACCCUCUGUUUUCAGCGGGAUAGAUUGCCCUGGGCUUCCCCAGGAGUGUAAUAGGCAGGAGUGGGUGGGGACUGAGAGCAAGUCACAGGAACAGUCCUUGCAGUGCUGUGUGUGCCUCAGCCUAAUGCAAGCCUGAUAAUUAGGAUUGCCAUUCUCUUUAUUUUUAAUUAUGAGGUAGCACUUUAUUGUGGAGGGCAAAAGUAACCCUGUAAUUAGCCUGUGUGAUUACUCAGUGAUUAGCCGUCUCUGAUGCUGCAGACACCCAGGAGAACCCUUGGCACGCUGUCACAGGUCUACGAGGGUUGGACGGGACCCUUGGCAAAAUUUCCCCAUCCUCCUGCUGAGGCCAGGCACAGACCAGGCAGGGAUGAGGACAGCAUGAGGCUCCAAGCACAAGUGGAUGACCUCUGGCAGUGAGGUACAGCCAUCCAAGAGACUCUGGCUCAGCUUCUGUGGGCUGCUGAAGCCUCAUCGUCCCACAUCCCCAGCGCACUGAAUCCAGCUUCUUUCACCGCACAGGCAGAGGCUGGGUCUGCCAGCUCCAAGCCCCAGCCACACUGACACCCCACGCUCACUGGGAGCAGCCUCCUGACAUAGGGCAUUGCUGAGCACUGCAGUGACAGCAACAUCCAAACGGUUGAGGGCAUCAGCCGAGAAACUAAUGUGUUUAUAAAACAAAUUGUUUAAGAAAGAAAGAAUCGAGGGGUGCAGAAGGCUGCUGUGAGCGCCCUGUGCUUCUCAGCCAUCUGGCCCUAGUCCGUGUUGGUCCCUGGGGUUGUUCCUCCCCAGGAGCAGAAGAUGGCAUCGCCUCUGCCUGGGCAGGUUGCAGCCUUGCCUGCCUCGCUUGGAUCUGAAGGACCAAAAAGUUUAUGUGGUCACUGCAGCGAGAGCCAAAGGGGCUUCACUGGGCAUGAGGGAGGAGAGCUGUCCAUUGGUGCAGGGAGUGGCUUGGCAUCAAGUGGCUGCCCAGUGCCCUGCAGGCUCAUAGCUGGGCUUAAAACAUGCUGAAUGGGUUAAUUUUUCCUUCUGCUGACAAGCCCAUGGCAGGUGGAAACCCUGUUCUCAGCUCAGCCUCCACUGCUGCCUGCACCCCACGCUCUGCUGGGCUCGCGUGGGGGUUUCUUGUCCCCUUCUCUCACCCCCGCCACGUUUGCUUCUUUAGCUGAGCCAUUCUGGGGGCUGGCUGGUAUUUCAGUCACUGAAGAAAUUAGUAACUGAUUUAUGUAACAUCUCGCGUGACUGACUGCAGGGUCUUCACAGAGAUGCAACUGCGAACAAGUACGCUAUGGGCAGAGUAAGAAAAAGCGGCCCAGAACCUCCCCCACAGUGAACCGUGGGCCAGGCCAGAUGCCACUCCACUGUCUUGCAGUGGCACCUGUACCUGUGCAGUGAAACAGGCUGUGUCCUGUUUCACUGCAGCUCAGCUCUGCAGGUGAGGGCCAGCAACCACGUUACCGUGUCCUUCCCAGGGCCAGCCAGAGCAAUUUCCUGCCUUGAAAAAGUGCUUCUUGUCCCCUGUUUGUACAGGUCUCAGGCCAGGCCCCAUCCCAGCAGCUCAGCACUCAGCACCGAGUUGUCUCACCCAGGGCCCGUUCAGGCUGGCGUCACCUGCCAGCAGCAUCUCUCCUGCCACCUCUGCUCGGGUGCAUCGAUGCCCAGCAGACAGAGGAGGCUGCAUGCUGACAGGCAAGCUGCAUUUCAGCAGCAGCUGGGUGCUGUCAGCUCUUGCUCCUCCUGGCUCCCUGCUGAGACUUUGGUGUCUGUCUCUUACCUCCAGUCAUUGGUGCUCAUGGUGGGGCAGGAGAGAUGGUCACCCCACACAUGUAUGGGGAAACCUUGGCAGAGCAAUGAUGGGACACUGGAUCUCAGUGUUCCCUGACUAUCCAGGGGUUGAAGCUUUCAGCUUGGAUGGUCCAGGGGCUAUUUUGAGCAUGUGUGUGUCUCUGGACUGCUGGUGGCAGACCUGACAUCCCCGUGCAGGAAUGGAAACUCCAUAGGUUCAGCAGGGGUGGGCGGGAAGGCUGAGCAAUGUGCCAGCAUCCCUCUCAGCAGCUGUGAUUCAGCAGUGAAGUCUAAGCAGGAAAUAACAAAGAAAUGCUUGCAAAUUAAAAAUGCUUUUGAUGUGAAUAGAAAUGGUUAUAACAAUCUGGAUUUUUUUUCAUGUAAAUAAGGCUCAGAAAAUGUGUUUUUUCAAACUGACAUGCAGCCAGCUCUAGUAGGUGUACCCAUCUCAGGAUAAAAGGAACAGAAGCCGCUCACUUGAUGAACCUGAAAGCUUUCUUAGAAUUACAAAAGGAAUAAAUGAUCUUAAUAAUAUUAACUCCUGGGUGGUCACCUGAGUCUUUGUGAGCAGUAUUCAUCACAUCCCAGACAGUGUAGUUUUAAGCUUGCACAAAAGACAACUUCAGAUGUUCUCAUGAUCUCCUUUUCAGCAGUGUAAGUUAUUGCUAAUACUCAAAUUUAAUUCCACCAUGAGCAUGUCCAUUUCAGUAAUCCUUGGUGUGGGAAGACCACCACUGCCCUCGCCAGUGAAGGAGCGCCCUGUGGCAGCUUCCCUUGGCCUCUGCUGCAGCUCAGCCCAGGAGCAUCCUCCCCACAGGUGUCUUGGAGGGGGUCUGGUGGACAACAGCUGGUGAGAGGAGAGGAGAGGAGGGGCUGCGGGAGCUGGGACACUCACCUCUGCCACAGAAACAGCUGGACAGGAGACGUGGCCCUUCCUCGGGCCUCCUGCUGGUACCAGUCACGACAGUGCUACUUAGAGUGGCUCUUGCCCAGAGUCACGGCAGCUUAGCAUGGCAUAGGCCAAGCAGCUGCAAUCCUAAUGUCAGCUGUUGAAGCUGCAGUAUGAUCAUGUUUAUAAACAAUGAAAAAUAAAGUCUGGAUUGUACUUUUCCUUCCAGAAGCGUGUUUUCAAAGGCAAUUUUGCAGACUGUCUUUUGAUCUCAGGUGAGGGAUGCCACUAAAUUUUGCCAUACUGACAUUGGUUCAGCAGCUGUUGCCAGUCUUCUUGAUUCAGGAAAUCAUGGUUCUUCACCAAAGGACUUAUUAAAAUGCAAAAUGAUUUAGGCUUUUUUUAUCUUACUGCACAUGUACUUCAGGAAUUUAGGAAUAUUAAGAACCCCCAGAGACUACUUUCUUCUCUCCGGUUACUAUGGUUCAUCUUGACAAGCAGCAACACCCCCACUUGCAGGCACCUGCUGGCAAUGCCAGAGUUUUGGGGAGCGACCAUGGCAAGUGGCAACAGCCCUGUGUUGUUUCUGGAAGAGGUGCUGGAGUCAGAGCACUGCAGUGGGGUUGUGGUGGGUGAAGUGUUUUAAGAAAAAACAUCACAGGGCAACAGAAACUGAAUUAAUUCCCCACCGUCCCUUUGCCAUUCCUUCUCCUCCAACUGAGCUGGUAGGAGACAGCAAAUGCUAGAAACUGUAAAAUUCAGUUUAUUCACCCUGGAUCCUAGCCAUGUGCUGUGGAAAGAUUCUCAAGUGAAAAUGCAACAAGAAACACUGUGCCCAACAUUCGCAAUCUAAACAUAUUGGUUGUCUCUGUACAAACCUUGCAAGGCCUCUGUCUCCAGCUUAUCCUAGUUACCUCAGCACGCCCCUAAAAUCAUAAUCCUGUGGCAAACAUUAAGAGAUCUCACCAGCACGUUGUUUUCAUCAAGUAACAAUGCAACACAAGGAUGAGAUACAUCCACUGAUGAAAACCCUUUACAUGUAUCGUCUAUGAACAGAAAGUUCACCUUCCUCUCUCCUUAGGGGAAAGCUAGAUUUAGAAAAGUGCUUUUCUACUCCCUAACCUAGUUUCUUUUCAGGUAUAGAAAAAACUGUAAACAUUUUUAGGCUUAAUAACUAUUUAUAUCUUAUACAGGAGUAGAGACUGUGGAGGGCAGGAUCCAGCACUGUAUGACCUCUGCUUCACACAGGAGUGGCUCAUGGAUGAAUCAGCCCAGUUUAGGUCAUAAAUGCUCACAUAAAAUACACCUUUGCUCCAUGUGAUGGAGAAGCAUGUGGCUGUUGCAAGUCUGCAGGCUCAAGCUCUGCAUGAAGGUUGUGGUUUCCUAAUGGGCUGUGAUCAGAAAGGGUGGUCCUGCACUCUCCUGCUGCUGACACUGGUGUCUUUGUGUGUUGGUGAUCAGGGGCUCCAUCCAGUAGAAAAUACAGCUUGGUUUUCAGCUGCAUCAGCUUUCUGAUUGUGAAACCACACAAAGAGGUGCAUAGGAUAGCCCAGUCCUCCUGGGAAAGAAACACAGCAGAACUGUAAAUCUUACUCUCCAGUGUAAACUACAACUUUUGCCACGAUGCUUUUGCUCUCCAAGUGCAGCUGCAUGAGCUUCCUGCCUUGUCAAGCUUCCAAUCCAGUUUCUCUGAAAGACACCAGCAAGGCCCCUACUGAUUUCAGAAACAGCCAAUUCCCCACUGGGGAUGGAGCACAUCACAGCAGCAAGGACCAGACUCUCUGUGCCUGACCUAUCCCUGCUCCGAUGGGCAGCUGCACAGGGGGACCACGGCUCCUUUCGCUUCACAGGGGAGAGGAGGUCAGUGUCCUGACAUGCACCACUCCGAGCAGGUAGCAUCAACACGCUGCAGACAGCUUUGAAUUAACAAGAAAAACAAGCCCAGGUCCCAUUUGCAGAUUUUCCAAAUGCUUUUUCUGCUUGAAUACUCACUCUCCGCAGCAUUUGGCUUUGCACGUGUGAUAGGUUGAAAUAUCAAAGGUUUAUUAUCUGCACAGCUCCUCUGUUUAUUCAGAGAGUAUGAUUUUGGCAAAAAACAGCUUUCUGAGGCCCUGGGGUGUCUGCAAGCACAGGGGCUGCCCUGCUCUGCUGCCCUCCUACCCCAGCCACAUAAGCACAGAACUGAGAGAAAACUGCUUUCCCCACUGCUUGGCAGCAAGGGAACUUGUUAU